GACGAACGCUGGCGGCGUGCUUAACACAUGCAAGUCGAGCGGUAAGGCCCUUUCGGGGGUACACGAGCGGCGAACGGGUGAGUAACACGUGGGUGACCUGCCCUCAGCUCUGGGAUAAGCCUGGGAAACCGGGUCUAAUACCGGAUAUGACUCCAUGACGCAUGUUGUGGGGUGAAAGCCUUGUGCGGCUGAGGAUGGGCCCCGNGGCCUAUCAGCUUGUUGGUGGGGUGAUGGCCUACCAAGGCGACGACGGGUAGCCGCCUGAGAGGCGACCGGCACACUGGGACUGAGACACGGCCCAGACUCCUACGGGAGGCGAGCAGGUGGGGAAUCGUUGCGCAAUGGGCGAAAGCCUGACGCAGCGACGCCG
rnacentral:rRNA from 1 species